AGAGUUUGAUCCUGGCUCAGGAUGAACGCUGGCGGCGUGCUUAACACAUGCAAGUCGAACGAAGCAUUUAAGGACGAUUCUUCGGAUGAGGACUUUUAUGACUGAGUGGCGGACGGGUGAGUAACGCGUGGGUAACCUGCCCUAUACAGGGGGAUAACAGUUAGAAAUGACUGCUAAUACCGCAUAAGCGCACUAGAACCGCAUGGUUCGGUGUGAAAAACUGAGGUGGUAUAGGAUGGACCCGCGUCUGAUUAGCUUGUUGGUGGGGUAACGGCUCAUCAAGGCGACGAUCAGUAGCCGGCCUGAGAGGGCGACCGGCCACAUUGGGACUGAGACACGGCCCAAACUCCUACGGGAGGCAGCAGUGGGGAAUAUUGCACAAUGGGGGAAACCCUGAUGCAGCGACGCCGCGUGAGUGAAGAAGUAUUUCGGUAUGUAAAGCUCUAUCAGCAGGGAAGAAAAUGACGGUACCUGACUAAGAAGCCCCGGCUAACUACGUGCCAGCAGCCGCGGUAAUACGUAGGGGGCAAGCGUUAUCCGGAUUUACUGGGUGUAAAGGGAGCGUAGGUGGCAUGGUAAGCCAGAAGUGAAAACCCAGGGCUCAACUCUGUGGAUUGCUUUUGGAACUAUCAAGCUAGAGUGCUGGAGGGGUAAGCGGAAUUCCUAGUGUAGCGGUGAAAUGCGUAGAUAUUAGGAGGAACACCGGUGGCGAAGGCGGCUUACUGGACAGAAACUGACACUGAGGCUCGAAAGCGUGGGGAGCAAACAGGAUUAGAUACCCUGGUAGUCCACGCUGUAAACGAUGGAUACUAGGUGUGGGGGGACUGACCCCCUCCGUGCCGCAGUUAACACAAUAAGUAUCCCACCUGGGGAGUACGAUCGCAAGGUUGAAACUCAAAGGAAUUGACGGGGGCCCGCACAAGCGGUGGAGUAUGUGGUUUAAUUCGAAGCAACGCGAAGAACCUUACCAAGGCUUGACAUCCCGAGGACCGGACUAGAGAUAGUCUUUUCUCUUCGGAGACCUCGGAGACAGGUGGUGCAUGGUUGUCGUCAGCUCGUGUCGUGAGAUGUUGGGUUAAGUCCCGCAACGAGCGCAACCCUUAUUGUUAGUUGCUACGCAAGAGCACUCUAGCGAGACUGCCGUUGACAAAACGGAGGAAGGUGGGGACGACGUCAAAUCAUCAUGCCCCUUAUGUCCUGGGCCACACACGUACUACAAUGGUGGUCAACAGAGGGAAGCAAUACCGCGAGGUGGAGCAAAUCCCUAAAAGCCAUCCCAGUUCGGAUCGCAGGCUGCAACCCGCCUGCACGAAGCCGGAAUCGCUAGUAAUCGCGGAUCAGAAUGCCGCGGUGAAUACGUUCCACGGGUCUUGCACUCACCGCCCGUCA
rnacentral:rRNA from 1 species